rnacentral:tRNA from 1 species
GGGAGUGGCUAUAUCCAUGGUGGAUAUCCUGGACUUCAAAUCCAGUGGCAGGCAGGCGGACCUGUCUGUGGUGGGUUCGAUUCCCACACAUUCCCGCCA